UACAGAGGGUGCAAGCGUUAAUCGGAAUUACUGGGCGUAAAGGGUGCGUAGGUGGUUAGUUAAGUUGUAUGUGAAAUCCCCGGGCUUAACCUGGGAAUUGCGUAUAAAACUGAUUAACUAGAGUUCGGGAGAGGGAAGUGGAAUUUCCAGUGUAGCGGUGAAAUGCGUAGAUAUUGGAAGGAACACCAGUGGCGAAGGCGACUUCCUGGCCCGAUACUGACACUGAGGCACGAAAGCGUGGGGAGCGAACAGG
rnacentral:rRNA from 1 species